GGCGGUGUAGCUCAGCUGGCUAGAGCGUACGGUUCAUACCCGUGAGGGCGGGGGUUCGAUCCCCUCCGCCGCUACCA
rnacentral:tRNA from 1 species